GCCAGGCAAGUGGCAUGUGCCUGUAGUCCCAGAUACUUGGGAGGCUGAGGCAGGAGGAUCACUUAAGCCCAGGACUUCUGGGCUCUAGUGUACUAUGCCGACCAAUCGGCUAAUUUUUUGUAUUUUUAGUAGAGACGGGGUUUCACCAUGUUGGCCAGGAUGGUCUCGAUCUCCUGACCUCGUGAUCCACCUGCCUCGGCCUCCCAAAGUGCUGGGAUUACAGGCGUGAGCCACUGUGCCCGGGCAAUUGAUCAUUUUAAUUACCUCCCAUCUACUCUGCUGUAUUUUCUAUAUUGAGCAUGUACUCCCAUAAUCGGAUGUCUGCACUAAGUUCAGCAUCAGUGUGGUGUCCUCCCGGGAAUGGGUCACCACUAGGUUGCCUAAGGAGGGAUGAACUGGCCCAGGUCAGAAACAGAGCAGGUCAAAACUCAAGUGCUGAUCAGUAGUGGGAUCACACCUGUGAAUAGCCACUGCACUCCAGCCUGGGCAACGUAGCAAGACCCCAUCUCUA
rnacentral:SRP_RNA from 1 species